rnacentral:rRNA from 1 species
CCUACGGGGGGCUGCAGUGAGGAAUAUUGGUCAAUGGACGAGAGUCUGAACCAGCCAAGUAGCGUGAAGGAUGACUGCCCUAUGGGUUGUAAACUUCUUUUAUAUGGGAAUAAAAUGUUCCACGUGUGGGAUUUUGUAUGUACCAUAUGAAUAAGGAUCGGCUAACUCCGUGCCAGCAGCCGCGGUAAUCCGGAGGAUCCGAGCGUUAUCCGGAUUUAUUGGGUUUAAAGGGAGCGUAGGUGGAUUGUUAAGUCAGUUGUGAAAGUUUGCGGCUCAACCGUAAAAUUGCAGUUGAAACUGGCAGUCUUGAGUACAGUAGAGGUGGGCGGAAUUCGUGGUGUAGCGGUGAAAUGCUUAGAUAUCACGAAGAACUCCGAUUGCGAAGGCAGCUCACUGGACUGCAACUGACACUGAGGCUCGAAAGUGUGGGUAUCGAACAGGAUUAGAUACCCUUGUAGUC